rnacentral:snRNA from 1 species
CGUUCAGCAGCACAUGUCCCAAAAAUUGGAAUAUGGAAAUUAGCGUGACCCCUGUGCAAGAAUAACAAGCAAAUUUGUGAGGCAUUUGGUAUUUUU